rnacentral:rRNA from 1 species
GAUACCCUGUUAUUUAAAAAUGUAAUUAAAUUAAUAGAGUAGUAUUAGUUAUGUUCUUAAAACUUAAUAAAUUUGGCGGUAUUUUAAUCUAAUUAGAGGAAUUUGUUUUAUAAUUGAUAAUCCUCAAUAUAUCUUACUUAGUUUUUAAAAUUUGUAUACCGUCGUCAUAAGGAUGUCUUUAAAUAGAAAUAAUUUUCUAAAAUUAAAAUUUUAAAUUAUGUCAGAUCAAGGUGCAGUUUAUAAUUAAGAAAAAAUGAGUUACAAUAAAUUUAUUUAAAGCGGAUUUAAAAAUUAAAAUUUUAUUGAAGAUGGAUUUAAUAGUAAAUUAAAUUAUAGUGUUUAUUUGAUUUUAGUUCUAAAAUAUGUACAAAUCGCCCG